UGUUAUGUGGCUUAGUUGGAUGAAGCGCCGGACUAGCGAUACGGAGUCAUGGGUUCGAAUCCCUCCAAAAUAA
rfam:Aedes albopictus isolate Foshan contig73576, whole genome shotgun sequence.